rnacentral:rRNA from 1 species
UACGUAGGAGGCAAGCGUUGUCCGGAAUUACUGGGCGUAAAGCGCGUGUAGGUGGUGGGACAAGUCUGCUGUGAAAGCGCCUGGCUUAACCGGGCGAGGUCGGCGGAAACUGUCCGACUAGAGGACGGUAGAGGGGGGUGGAAUUCCCGGUGUAGUGGUGAAAUGCGUAGAGAUCGGGAGGAACACCUGUGGCGAAGGCGGCCCCCUGGGCCGGCCCUGACACUGAGACGCGAAAGCGUGGGGAGCGAACGGG